rnacentral:lncRNA from 1 species
GACUCCGGUAACCAAGGAAACCUCCCGGAAACGGCGGGUUGUAUUACUCUGUGGCGGGCCGGGUUCAAGUGCCUGAAGUUUUAUCCUUGGUGGAGGCAGCAAACAGAAAACUGCAAGGCAGGUUGCGGGUGUGCGGCGGAGGCUUGCAGCUCGUAGCUCUAGCGAACUUCAGGGUUCAAGUUUACGGGGCGGGGAGAACGGUGGUGGCGUCUUCUUUUCGCAGGAGACCAGUCGCCAGGUCGGGGAGCCUUAUCACAGAAAGCGCGACCACUCCGUGUGUUUUGCGCGUGUCAGGAAUACUGUUAAUGAUCUAACAGUCCAUCGGGCAACUCCUGAAGAUCUGGUAAGUUUAAUAUCAAAAAAAUAAUUUGCUUAAUAUUUUUUUGAUAUUUGGUUUCUAACCUUCAGAAUA